GUGGGGAAUUUUGGACAAUGGGCGAAAGCCUGAUCCAGCAAUGCCGCGUGUGUGAAGAAGGCCUUCGGGUUGUAAACUGCUUUUGUACGGAACGAAACGGUCCUGGUUAAUACCUGGGGCUAAUGACGGUACCGUAAGAAUAAGCACCGGCUAACUACGUGCCAGCAGCCGCGGUAAUACGUAGGGUGCGAGCGUUAAUCGGAAUUACUGGGCGUAAAGCGUGCGCAGGCGGUGCUGUAAGACAGGCGUGAAAUCCCCGGGCUCAACCUGGGAAUUGCGCUUGUGACUGCAGUGCUGGAGUACGGCAGAGGGGGAUGGAAUUCCGCGUGUAGCAGUGAAAUGCGUAGAUAUGCGGAGGAACACCGAUGGCGAAGGCAGUCCCCUGGGCCUGUACUGACGCUCAUGCACGAAAGCGUGGGGAGCAAACAGGAUUAGAAACCCGAGUAGUCC
rnacentral:rRNA from 1 species